UUAAAAGAAUCGAUGACAAUAUUGUAAUAACAUCAAAGUUAAUUAAAGGGGUUAUUAAGGAAACUAUUCAAAUUUAUAAAUAAGGAGGCUUAUUGCCAAAAUUUUCUAAAUUAAAAUUUCAUUUAUAAUUUUAGGCGCAGCCAGUAAAUGAAAAAUUUAAAUUUUUAAUAGAAAAAAAUCCUAAGGUAAACCAAAUUUAUUAAUUACUUCCUGAAGUAAAACAUUUUAUUAAGGAAAGGAAAGGAAAUCAACCGAGACUCCGAAAGUAAUGGUGAGUGAAAUCGGAACAGCCUAAAUUAUAUUAUAAAAUUGAAAUCUAAAAUAGGUAAAAAUCAUUAGUCCUGUAAAUUUUAUAAGUAAUGAACUCUAAAUAAUAAUAAAAAGUAAAAAAUUUAAACAAAUUUUUGUUAAAGUUAAUUUGUUUGAAUUUUUGAGUGGCCGCCAGUCCAUCCCAUGCCUAACUAAUAAGUUAGAAACGCGGUAUAUUGGUAGUUUGCUUCUCGACAAUAAAAGCCUGCGCUGCAUGCUAGGCUAAUACAAAUAUUCUUAUUUAACUGGAAGGAAUGACUAAGUACAAUGAGUGUAAACUUGUUGGAAAACAGGGGAACCAUCCUCUAAGGCUAAGUAUUAUAAAUUUAGUGAUAGUGAAAAGUACUGUAAAGGAAAAGAAUGAAAAAGACAAGUGGUAAACAAUGUGUUGAAAUAGAUAUGAAUUAGUAACUCUAUAAGCAGUCGAAAUUCUAAACAUUCAAUGAAUAACGGCGUACCUUUUGCAUAAUGGGUCAGCAAGUUAAUAAGAGUAGCAAGGUUAAAAGCCCUAGCGAAAGCGACUAAACUAUCAAAUUAAAUAUAAAAUAAACCUAACAAAUAAAAUUUAAACAAUCAAUCUUUCUAAUGAAAAUAUAUAUUUAAUUAUAAUGUAGUGUUGGAUUAGUUACUUUUAUUAGACCCGAAGCCAGGUGAUCUUACCUAGACCAGAUUAUAAUGGAUCGAACGGGUGAAUGUUGCAUUAUUCUCCGAUGAGUUUAGGUAAGCGGUGAAAUGCCAAUCUGACCUGGUGCUAUCUGGUUUUCUACCGAAACAUAUUUUAGUAUGACAUCUACAAAAAGAGAUUUAUGGAGGUACAGAAAGGCAAUUCCAAACAAAAAAAAGAGUUUAAUAAGUUAUAAUAUUUAUUACAUUCAUAAAUCUUUUUGGCGUUUAGGUUGAGGGGAUGUUAAAAUCUUACCUUUGGAAGCGAAACUCGAAAUUACAUAAAUUGAUAGUAGAUAUUCAGACUGCUCAUGCUAAGUUGAGUAGUCAAGACGGAAACAGCCGAGAACACAGAUCAAGGUCAAUCGAACUAUAAAUAUAAAAUUAAUUAUAUUAAUAGGGCCUAAUCUAGUUAAUUAAAUUUAACAGAUUCCAAAUUUACUAUUUACAAUGACCCUCUAAAAUAUAAAUAGAUAUUAUUAUCUCAUAACUUCAUAUUUGAUAAUUCUAAUAUUAUCUACUGCAGAUGCAGUAGUGAUAACCUAAUUCGUAUAAAAUUAGGCACUAGAAUUAAUAGAGAAAAUUGUAGGGUACAAUUCCCUCAGAGACUUUACGUAAAUCGUUUUAUUUAAUAUAAAAUAAAGACAAAGUCCAAAAUAAAUUUAACAUAUAAGAUAUAGAUCAAAAUUAAUAUUUUUUUAUAUUUUUGUACUAUAAUUACCGAGGGUGGAUGGGAUAUGGGUUUAGAAUAUAAAACUAAACUAAGUAAUGAAAAAAAUACAAAAUAUAAGUAAAAUUAAUAACGAAAUAUAUCCUUUGCGGCCCUGGAACAUUACUGGCUAUUAUGAUGGUGAAGGUUGUUUUAAUAUUUCUAUUUAUUCAAAUAAAAAAAUGAAAUUAGGAUAUUCUGUAACUUUUUCAGCCGAAAUUAAACAACAUUCUAAUUCAAUAAACUUAUUAAAUUCAAUUAAAGAGUAUUUUAAAGGUAAAGGUUCUAUAAGUUUUUCUAAUAAAAGUCAAUCAGUAUCUAGAUAUAAAAUAAGUAAUUUAAAGGACAUAAUUAAUUUAGUGAUUCCACAUUUCGAUAAAUAUCCUUUAGUUACAUCUAAACAUUUAAAUUAUUUGGAUUUUAAAAAAGUAAUUUUACUUAUAGAAUCAGGUGAACAUUUAAAGGAAGAAGGUUUAAAAAAGAUUAAAGAAAUUGUAAGUCAAAUGAAUACUAAACGAACUUUUUUAGAUAAAUGGAAAUAUAGUAAAGAUCAAAGCAAAAAAAUAGAAUUAGUACCUGAGUGAAUUCAAUCUUUUGCCGAUGGUGAAGGUAAUUUUAACUUUCACAUUAGACCUACAGGAAAUAGUAACGUAUGUGCUUUUGCUAUAUAUCAAAAUGUUCAUGAUUACCAUAUUAUGGCUUUAUUAGUAAAAUAUUUUGGUGGAGGUAAACUAUAUCCUUUAUCUGUAGACGGAUCAUUUGAAUCAGCCUUUGAUUACUAUAAAAAAAGGAACAAAAAGGGUCUUAACUCUGUUAUUACUUUUGAAGUAAAUACUAGAAGUAUGAAUAAAAGUCAAAUAAUUCCUUUUUUUAAUAAAUAUCCUUUAUAUACCACUAAGGCUUUAGAUUUUGAAGAUUGAAAAAGUUUAAUUGAAUACUCCGAUCUCAAAAUAUAUGAAUCAGAAGAAGGACGACAAAAAAUGUUACAAAUUUCAAAAGGUAUGAAUAGCCAAAGAAAAUUUUUUAAAGAAGAAAUAGAAGAAAUAGAAGUAGAAAAAGACUUUCCGGUCUCUUAGUCUAAACGAUUGAGAAAAAUUAUAUAAAUUAACCCCUCAACGAAUUUCCUGUGCGCAAGGCUAGUAGUGCAGCAAGUAGCAGAAGUUGCCGGGCUGAUAUAGUUAAUAUUAGUCUAAAUAUGUUAAAUUUAAUUUUGCCCAAAUAGAUUGUUAAGUGAAAAUCAAGGACGUGACAAAAUCUUAUACAGUUGUGAAGUGAGCUUGGUAGUCGCUACUUAUAAUGAUCGUAUGUAACAACGCAUCAACAGUUUUUAGCUUUGUUACGCCGAAAAUUUAACGGGUCUUAAACAAUCAACCGAUAUCGUGUUGAUAUUGAAUUUAUAAAUUUUACCCUUCCUAUUAAAAGUUAACCCCCAACCACUACUAUAUCUUUUUACAAAGGAUAGAAAGGAGGGAUAUAAAGGGUUGUCGUUAACGCUAGGGCUAAAUGUUUAUUCUUUAUCUAGGUAGUAGAACAUUCAGUCAAUCUAUUUAUAAAAUAGUGUUUCAUUAUUUUUUAGGCAACUGAAGAGAGAAUGCUGACAUGAGUAACGUAAAAGAAGAAUAUAAUUCUUCUCGCCGAAAACGAAAGGGUUACAAUAAAAGGUUAAAUCAUUUUGUGUUAAUGCGGCCUCUAAGGACUAUAACCAAAGUUAUGGCUGAUGAGUAUAUUAUAGAAAGUCCAAAAUAAAAUUUUAUUGGGACCAAGAAAAUAAUAUUUGUUUUAGGCUAAUUUUAUUUAUUUAUUUGAUUAAUUAAAUUUAGUUAAUCUUUAAAAUAGUCGGACUUACUUGUUCAAAAGUAGGUAGACACAAUUAUUUAGUUAAUAUUUGAUAAGGAAAGAUAGGGCUAAUACGUAGAACCGUAAAGGCCCAGUCUCCAUCCUUUCAUCGCCAUUUAAAGUUGGAAGGAUAAAAAUAAUGGACUUUAUUAAAUUUAUAAUAAAGAGGUGUAUAUAAUUACCUUGCACCAAUUUAAGGAGUUAAUUUUAUUUAAUUUAAAAGUUCUCAUUCUCUCAAUCAGAGGAAGCUAAAUAUAGCUAAUUAUGCUAUAAUUGUCCUGCGUUAACGGCUGUUGCCGGCUUUUAAAAGUUCGCUAGGUUAGCUUAGUACGGCUGCUCUUUAUUACAGCCUUGAGAGGGUGUAUCUUAACCCCAAAGUAUUAAAAAGUAUUAAAUUAAUAUUCUCGCUUUGCUGCGUUUGGUUAAUUUUUUAGUUUUCAUAUAAAUAAAAUUAUUAGUUUAAAUUUUAAGCCUUACUCUCUUCCACUUCUACCACCACAUAAAAGUUCUGCCACUAUUUUUUCGUAAAGCCGUAGGGAGAGUGAGCGAUUGGUGUUGUUCAAAUAAAGAUAAAAGGGGUAGGGUGAGGAAGGGUCUUCAGUUAAGUAGGAAGUAAACCUGAUUCUUAAUGGUUUUUUGAAUAUUGAAGAUAAAAUACUAAACCGAAAUUAGAAACUUAAAUUUUAACUAAUUAUUACCUUAAUUUAUUAUUAUUUUUAAUUAAAUAAUAGCUAAUUAAAAGACUAAGAUAAAUAUCAUAUAUAUAUUUUUUUAUUUAUUUUAUUCUGAAUUGUAAAUAUAUUUAUAUUUUACUCUGUCAAUAUUUAUUGGGCUUGUUUUAAAUACGAUUUUUACUUCUAUAACCAACCGUUAAAGGAAGAAGCGGCUCUGCAAAUCUAAGGCUGUGGUUGAAUUAACUACCUUUCCUAAAGGUAGAAGGAAUCAUCCAUAAAGUAUAAUUAAAAAUAAUAAACAAUUAAAAAAUUUUAAUUAAACUAACCUUGGAAUAAGUAUUAGACAAAUUAAAAGAAAAUACACUGCGUUUGUUCUUUAGGAGAAAUAUUUGCAGGAAUCUUUGAAGCUUAGAAGUGCCUCUAUUCAGUAGGUCUGUCUCUCGCUUGCGAAGUAAAAUUAAGAUAUAUUUUAGAUUUUAUAAAUUUAUAAAAAUGUUAUAAAAUAACACUACCGUACCCUAAACCGACACAGGUUCGUAGGUAGAGUAUACUAAGGCGUAGAGCUAAAAGUUGUUAAGGAACUCGGCAAGAAUACCUCAUAAGUUUUACAAGAAGAGGUGCCUACUGUUUUUAAAAAUUAUAUUUAUUUAUUCGGAAUUAUUUAUAAAUUUUAGAAUGGUAUGGUGACAGAAAAUCGGAGGCCACGACUGUUUACUAAAAACACAGAUCAAUGCAAAGAUGAAAAUCAUAGUAUAUUGGUCGAAAUUUGCUCGAUGCCAUUAAUAUAAAAGAGGUCAUUGAAAAUGUGACUAAUUGAAAGUCUGGUUAAUAGCGGUCUUAACCAUGAGGAUCCUAAGGUAGCAAAAUCAUUUGGCCAUUAAAUGUGGUCCGGUAUCAAUAAUGUAACGAUGGUCUCACUGUCUCUACAACUUGCUCAGUGAAAUUGAAUUGCCAGUGAAGAUGCUGGCUUUCUACAAAGGGACGGGAAGACCCUAUGCAGCUUCUACUGUAGUUAGUUAUCACAGGUAUCUAGAACAAUCUAAAUGAUUAGAGAAUAGGGAUUGUCGAUAGACUAAAAGUGAAAACCUUAUGAUUAAGAUUGGGUAUUUGUUAACCUAUUUUGUGUUAUCAAUGUCAGUAUUGUUAAGUAAUCACAAAGAGGGAGAGUUGACUAAUUGGCAGUUUGACUGGGGCGGUCGUCUUUAAUAGAGUAGCAAAGUACAAUCCAAUUAUUUUCACAAAUUAAAUAAAUAAAUUAUUGUAUUAUUUUUUUAAUAAAAUUUUAAUUGUCUGACGCUGGAACCUACCACUAAUUAAUUUAGUGCGACCUCAGGCCAAACGACCUUUAGUCGGGGAGCUUUAGCACGUCGGGGAGUAGGGCAGCAUCAAUAAAACCCAAUUUCAGUAUUUAUCACUUAUUAAAAAGUGGUAACAUCACUCUACCUAGGUGGAAAAGGAAAAAGGUAAAUUUAAAAAAGGAAACUUCCGCUAAUUGUGACAGUCCCUCACUCAGUUUUGAGGGGAGCUUGCUUUUAUUGCAGGAGUCUGUAAACGAAGAUCUUUAAUUAAAAAAAAAAUGUUUUAUAAAUUAAAAAUUAAAAUUCAUCGUUCCAAUUUAAAAUAUCUAAAUUCUAAAUUCUAAUUUCUCACUAGAAAUUAAGAAUAAGAAAUUAGAUUAACUAAAAAAACAAAUUUAAAUUAAGGUAUAGCUAGAAAUUGUAUGGAGAACAAUCAACCAAUGAAGGGUUGCGCAGAGUUUAAUGGCGGUAAGCAUGCUUAACUGAAAGACCUAUAAGUCGCUCAGAUACGUAAGUAGGGCAUAGUGAUCCCUCGUUAAAGUAUGGAAUUGACGGGGCUAAAUAGAUAAAAGUUACGCUAGGGAUAACAGGCUGAUCACCGACGAGAGUACACAUUGUCUCGGUGGUUUGGCACCUCGAUGUCGACUCAUCUCAUCCUCCGGGGGAAGAAUCUUGGAAGGGUUCGGCUGUUCGCCGAUUAAAGAGGUACGUGAGUUGGGUUUAAUACGACGUAAGUCAGUAUAGACCCUAUCUUUUGUAGAGAAAAUUAGUAAAAAGGGGCAGACCUUCUAGUACGAAAGGAUCAAUAGGCUGUGUUUCUCUAGUGUACCAAUUGUAUAAAUUUAUUGUCAGGGACCCAAAAUUUUUAAAUAACUUUAGAAAAUAGGGAAAAAUCCUUUAUAAUAAAACUUUUAUGUUUAACCCUAUUGUUUAGCGCCUAAAGCCUAACUUAGGUAAAAAGUAAUAUGUUAAGGAUUAUAAUAAAUUAACGCAUAGUUGGGUAGCCACAAACAUAAUAGAUAAGUGCUGAAUGUAUAUCAAGCAAGAAUCUAACCUCUAGAUACUAAAAAACGAAUCUUUUUUUAUAUAUUAUAAUAUUUAUUAAAAAAAUUAAUAGUAAAAUCUAUUUCUCAUCUUUAUAGAAUAUAUUAACCAACUAAAUGGUCUCCAACCCUAUCUUUUUAAAGGUCGGAUUGGUAAGAACAGAAAGGAUGGUUUUAAUAAUAAAUAUAUAAUAUUAUUUUAAAAGUUUAAAAUCGUUAAUUAAGAAAUAGAACAUUUCUAGAUAGGCUGCAAAUGUAAAUAUCGUGAGAUAUGAUUUAUAAUAAAAUAUAAAUUAAAUUAAAUUAAAUUUUUUUUAAGUUUAGCAGUACUAAUUUAUAAAUAAACUUGA
rnacentral:rRNA from 1 species